GAAAUUGUGUAGGUGUCUUUAAUGGGAUCACACAAACAACACACAAAACAGAGAAGAGAAAAGCAUAAAAGAUAUGAGAAACUAAAAAUUGAAAGCAAGGGAGUGUUGAUCAUGAGUUCCAAUUUCUUCCAUCAUCCUUGCUAAUAGUUCCCUUCCCAAAUCUCCCAUACCCAUGAAUAUGAAUAUGGAGAAGUGAUGAGAAUCACUUGGUGAUGGCAUAAACAGCAUAAAUGAUGCCAGGGAUGUAUCCAAAGAAAGUUAAGACCAAGCAGAUCCAAAAUUCAACUUGGCACCCAUAUUUGAGAAAGACACCAAGAGGAGGCAGCAGAAUAGCGAGAAGAAUAUCGAUGCAGUUUGUUGUGCCUUCGUCUGCCAUUUCUUUUCUUCUUCUUCUUCU
rnacentral:misc_RNA from 1 species